GCUGAGUGAGGUGGCACAUGCCUGUAGUCCCAGAUACUCGGGAGGCUGAGGCGGGAGGAUCGCUUGAGCCCAGGAGUUCUGGGCUGUAGUGUGCUGUGCGGAUCCGGUGUCCGUACUAAGUUCAGCAUCAAUAUGGUGACCUCCCAGGAGCAGGGGACCACCAGGUUGCCUAAGGAGGGGUGAACCGGCCCAGGUCAGAAACAGAGCAGGUCAAAACUCCCGUGCUGAUCGGUAGUGGGAUCGCGCCUGUGAAUAGCCACUGCACUCCAGCCUGGGCAAUGUAGCAAGACUCUU
rnacentral:SRP_RNA from 1 species